rnacentral:lncRNA from 1 species
GGGAGCUUCUUUUAUAGGAGUGGGGUGGGGUUAGCCUGAGCUGGAGUGACAUCACGAGGAGGGGCUUGUGACCUCAUUAGCUGCUAGGAGGUAGCAAGUAUCAGGUUACUCUUUUGGAGGGAGGAGAGGCAUGCUGGGAAGAAGAAGCCUGUCCUUUGUUGGGAGAAGCCAUAUUUUAACAUGGAGGCUGCUAUUCCGUGUGGCAGCCAUUUUAAGACAAGGGAAAUCUAAUAUUUCAGGCUUUUUGUUUUAUGGUUAUUGGGUGAAGGUCUCUUCUCCUGGAGGAUGUACAGGCCAUUGGACACGCAGAUGGGACACUCUUCUGAGAUAA